CACAAGGCUAUCUUAACAGUAACUGCCUUUAUUUCUUUCAAGGUUUUAAUAGAAAAUAUUUCACUCUUUGCCUGCUUUAGCUUUUUCUAAUUCUAAUGUAUGAUAUUCUAUUUAAAAUUAUUCCUAUCAGAUUGCUUAUUUAUAUGCACCAAAACUGCAAUCCUUCUGGCUGUGAAACAUACAGAAGAAACUUUAAAUAUAAUUAAGAUAGCAGCAGAGGAACAUGGAAGAGAGGAACAUAGGUUUAUAAAAUAUAUUGUGCAAAAGAGCUUACUGCACUUAUAAGAAAUGAGAGAGCUUUAUAGGGGAUGAUCACACAGCCUUGAAGAAUGCAUUAGUAAUAACAGAUAACAAGGAUGAGAAGAUAUUUGAGGAAAUAACAGCAAGUGCAACAUCAUGGAGAUGAGAGAGAAAAUGGUAUCAGGACAAAAAGCAGUUCGGGCUUUUGCAAUCACCAUAGGAAGAAGAUUCCACAGUAGCCUGUGAUUCCAGAAGAAUGAAAGACAUGUGGAGCAGCUAUGGACCAAGUUAACUAGAAGCCAACUUAGAUUAGCCAUUCUUCAGCCACAGACAUGCAGCACGUGGUUGGGUGCAGCUUGCAAUCACAAAUCAAAACGGAAGAGGAAGAGGACAACUGUAUAAAGCAGCGUGAUUUAAGUUGAUCUGUGGGACAAAGAGUUAAGCCACAAAUAUUUGGGGAGAGAGGCAUUUUAUAAAACACUGAGAAGGCAAUAGAGAUUCUACUUCAUCCAGGACAGAGAGAAUAGGCCAUAAUUCUGGUGAAAGAAAAUAUUGAAAACUCCAUCUUGGCCUGAAGUGUUAAAUCAAGGAGUCUGGACCUGACUUGAAAUAAGGGGGAAAAAACACUUCAAGCCUAAAGACAAGCCGUUUGAAACUACCCCAUGGGAAGAAGAGAACUGCAAAGGUGUUCUCUGGAUAGAUUUUGAUCUCUGCAAGGAUAUGAACUAUAAUGAUCAGAGGGCAUUCUAAAAUGCUACAGAAAUUGUUAAACCAAGGAAUAACUCAACUGGACACCCUUUAUCUUUUCAAGAUUGAAUGCCAGUGAGUAAGAGCUUCAGGCUACUAGAGCAAUGAUGGUUUUUUGAAUUAUAAAGAUUUGAUAUUAAAUAAUUGGAGAUUCUUGUCAGCAUGUUGUUAAGCUAAUUUUAAGUCCUUCAAGGCUUAGGAAAUAGCCCAUGUCUACAUACAGCUCUACAUGUUAUGUUCUAAUUAGCUAAGAUCACAUUUUUAUCAAUUGAAUAAAGUCUAUAAUUCCAUAUUAAAUAAAAACUAUAAUUCUUUAAAAAAGACAGCAUGGUUUGUUUCCUAAAUAAAAUUCC
rnacentral:lncRNA from 10 species